rnacentral:rRNA from 1 species
UGAACGCUAGCGGCAGGCUUAACACAUGCAAGUCGAACGGUAACAGAGAAGAGCUUGCUCUUUUGCUGACGAGUGGCGCACGGGUGCGUAACGCGUAUACAAUCUACCUUUUACAGGGGUAUAGCCUUUAGAAAUGAAGAUUAACACCCCAUAGUAUCUAUAUAUCUCAUGGUAUUUAGAUUAAAACUUCGGUGGUAAAAGAUGAGUAUGCGUUCUAUUAGCUAGAUGGUAAGGUAACGGCUUACCAUGGCGACGAUAGAUAGGGGCCCUGAGAGGGGGAUCCCCCACACUGGUACUGAGACACGGACCAGACUCCUACGGGAGGCAGCAGUGAGGAAUAUUGGACAAUGGGCGAGAGCCUGAUCCAGCCAUGCCGCGUGCAGGAUGACUGCCCUAUGGGUUGUAAACUGCUUUUAUAUAGGAAGAAACCUUUCCACGUGUGGAAAGCUGACGGUACUAUAAGAAUAAGGAUCGGCUAACUCC